AUUGAACGCUGGCGGCAUGCCUUACACAUGCAAGUCGAACGGCAGCGCGUCCUUCGGGAUGGCGGCGAGUGGCGAACGGGUGAGUAAUACAUCGGAACGUGCCCGAGAGUGGGGGAUAACGCAGCGAAAGCUGUGCUAAUACCGCAUACGAUCUCAGGAUGAAAGCAGGGGACCGCAAGGCCUUGCGCUCACGGAGCGGCCGAUGGCAGAUUAGGUAGUUGGUGGGAUAAAAGCUUACCAAGCCGACGAUCUGUAGCUGGUCUGAGAGGACGACCAGCCACACUGGGACUGAGACACGGCCCAGACUCCUACGGGAGGCAGCAGUGGGGAAUUUUGGACAAUGGGGGAACCCUGAUCCAGCCAUGCCGCGUGCAGGAUGAAAGGCCUUCGGGUUGUAAACUGCUUUUGUACGGAACGAAAAGGUCUUUUCUAAAUAAAGAAGGCUGAUGACGGUACCGUAAGAAUAAGCACGGCUAAUACGUCCACAGCCGACG
rnacentral:rRNA from 1 species